GCGCAGACGGCGGAGAGCAGAGAGGGAGCGCGCCUUGGCUCGCUGGCCUUGGCGGCGGCUCCUCAGGAGAGCUGGGGCGCCCACGAGAGGAUCCCUCACCCGGGUCUCUCCUCAGGGAUGACAUCAUCCGUCCACCUCCUUGUCUUCAAGGACCACCUCCUCUCCAUGCUGAGCUGCUGCCAAGGGGCCUGCUGCCCAUCUACACCUCACGAGGGCACUAGGAGCACGGUUUCCUGGAUCCCACCAACAUACAAAGCAGCCACUCACUGACCCCCAGGACCAGGAUGGCAAAGGAUGAAGAGGACCGGAACUGACCAGCCAGCUGUCCCUCUUACCUAAAGACUUAAACCAAUGCCCUACACUCCAGGCAGCCCUUGUCCACGGGCUCUCCUUGCAUCAGCCAAGCUUCUUGAAAGGCCUGUCUACACUUGCUGUCUUCCUUCCUCACCUCCAAUUUCCUCUUCAACCCACUGCUUCCUGACUCGCUCUACUCCGUGGAAGCACGCUCACAAAGGCACGUGGGCCGUGGCCCGGCUGGGUCGGCUGAAGAACUGCGGAUGGAAGCUGCGGAAGAGGCCCUGAUGGGGCCCACCAUCCCGGACCCAAGUCUUCUUCCUGGCGGGCCUCUCGUCUCCUUCCUGGUUUGGGCGGAAGCCAUCACCUGGAUGCCUACGUGGGAAGGGACCUCGAAUGUGGGACCCCAGCCCCUCUCCAGCUCGAAAUCGGCAGACUAGGAUGGAAGUGCCCUGUGAGCUGGGGGGCCCUUCAAAGGGCCAAGGAGAAAACGCAGGCCGAGGGACCAGCCUUCCAAAUGGGCUUCAAGCUCCAAUGACCUCCGCUCGCCCCCUCGAAAUGUCUGG
rnacentral:lncRNA from 10 species